UGUUUGCGGGUGAGCAAAAUCUCUUGGAAGUGUUUUCGCCUGUUCAGGAAGUCCUCAGGAAAAUCAAAAGCUGUGUUGGUCGUAAAGGGAGCGACCUUUGAGUAGAGCCUGUGAUUUGCUUUUUCAAAUUAAAAAAACCCACAACACCCAAGAUAAUUGCGUUUCAAGGGCUGCAUCUCUCCUUGCCCACAUCUUGCCAAGGCAUCUUAAUAUUUUUAUGCAAGGAUUUUGUGAGGUAAACGAGCAAAACUAAACCAGGCUUUAACGCAGCAGUUGUGGCUGUGUGCAGAGCCUUUAUCUGCUGCGCAAGGCCUUGCACGCAGGGACGGCACAGUGCAGAUAACCUAGCACGGACAUAGAUCUCCCAGUCAGCGUCCUAACAGGGACCUCAGUGAAGAUUCACAGGACCCACCAAGAAAGUGCUGAUUGAAGUCACACCACUUUGAUAGGAGCUGCUUCCAGUAUAUGUUUCUUUUUGGUAUAUAUUUCCAGAAACUAUAUGUUUCUAACACCAUGAAGAACCAGUCCUGAUGGGAACUUCUACAUUUUUCCAAGCAGAGGUUGGUCCCUCCUGCUUGUCAAGUGCAUCUUUUCUUAUCUUCAUGGACAAUAAGGCACAAAUUUUGCUAAGUUAAAAAUGCUUAGUAGAUGCUUGUUUCAGCUGGAAGACUAUAUUUUCUAUGAUGUCCCCUACGAAGCAUGCUUGGAUCUCAACAUUUCUCCCUGCACAGAGCGUAGACUGUGUCUGCACCUUUCUUCUAGGGUUUUCUCAGGGCUAAAGUUAAUAAAAAUUAUUUCCUCUGUGACUGUUUCACCCUCCCAGGGGAGAGACUGGUGAUUUUCUGCACAGCCCUGUACUACAUGUUGUCAGAAGCAACAUAAAACUGCUUAUGAAAGUCAGCAAAAGUUAGGGGGAAAAAGGCUACGCUCAAUGUCUACUGAAAGAGAGAAAUUUAAAGGAGAUACAGUUGGGAUGUCAGAAAUUGUACUUUGUCAGUAGACUAAUCAGGACACUAUCUGCCUGUCAACCCUUUUCUGAAGACCAUGAGUAAAGACUCUGUGAAGGGAGUUCACAACAACGGUGUGGCAGCCAGUGAGUUGAGAAGAAUGAACUUUCUCAUCCCAGAUGCCAGCCUUUCUCUUCCCCAGUUCCCUGUGAUCACCACCCAUCAUCUUCCUGAGAGAGGCUCUGGUAAGAACAGGUCUUUGAGAGGAUGUGAGCACGACCCCAGCUCAGCUGUAUCUUGAACAUCACUGACCCCUUUGCCUGUGUAUCAGGUUUUUUUCCAAAAUUGUUUAUGCGAAUUCCCAUUUUUAAGUGUAUUCUCUUCAAUAACAAAACAUUAGCAAGCCAAGGGUUUUGCACCAUGAGUGUCAGCCAACAUUCAGCGGGGCACUGAAAUCAGUAUUUUACAAAGCCACGUGGAGAGAAAAGUUUCCCAGGCCUCAGCACACCUAAUUUACUCUCCAUAUUUUCUUCCAGACAAGAUUGCAAGUAAGAGCAGAGACAGAAGCUGAUGGUUGUACUGCUGCUGGUUUUCUGCUUCCUUCCUACCUUCACAAGCAUCUGUUUGGCCUGCAACUUAGGACUUGGGGUAUCCCAGAGAUCAUUUGCCCAUUAGGAGAACUCCUGUGUGUGGCAGCUGGAAGAUUGGCAAAUGAGUACAUGGUAGUGUGAAAGAGAGGGAAAUGUUCCCCACAAAGAUUUUACAGUAGAAAAUGGAAUGUAAACUGAGCACAAUGUUCAGCGCGGUGAUUUUUGGACAAUUUAUCCCAAAGAGAUCCCACAAGGUGGACAUAGGCUCUCCACCGGGCUAUGUGACCCAAUGCAGGACUGAGGCUGCAGACCCUGCUUUGUGUUGUACUGUCAGAGAACAGGAUACCUCCCAUCGCUACAGUGCUAGCAGCAGGUUUGUUCUCAACCAAUGAUUUGAGAGGAAGAAAAAAGGAAAAUUGUGUGUCUUACUAAAAGCCUGUGGUGAUGUAGUGUAUCACAAGUGCUUCUGUGUCUUAAGAUUAUCUUAAGCAGACUGGAAUACCUAGUUACAGUCGAGAUUAAAACCUUGCUUAAUAGUUUACAUUUCAAAUAAUUUUACUACCCUCCUUCCCAUCUUUUCCUGAAAUUUUAUUGAAAAAUUUAAAUAUUUUGAUUGCUUCCCCUGCUAACAAAUAGUGUGCCAGUGAGGAAUUCAGGGACAGGAAGGAGAGAGGAAGGUAAAAGGAAGAUAGGGGCUGGGUCAAGUUUGACAAAAAUUAUGUGAUUCUGUAUUACUAUGCAUACACAUAAGUGAGGAAAGCUAAAGUCACAUGAAUAUUAUUUGUAUGAAAAUUUUACAAAGGAUUGUCACUAACUGAAAAGCAUUGCUAUAGAAUAUCACAAGUGUAGGCAUGGAAAGUUGUUCAACACCUCACUUUCUCAGGGCUUAAGCAGAACUUCAUGUACAACUUCUUGUGUCCUGCCUCCAAAUUGCAAUUAAAUGCUAUAUCCAAACUCUGUACAAGUCACUGGUUAACAGUGGCAGCUGAAAGAGUAUGAAUCUCAAGGAUAACAAAAACUCUGAAUUAGCAAAGUGGAAGCAUUUUAUUCCGUACAGUGUGGCUUAAAAAUUUAUAACUUACUUAUCUUCUAAGGUGAUUCUGUUUGGAAGGAUCUUCCUUUGCUGCUUGCUUAUAAUACCCAGAAAUAUUCAGCUGCAUGGCUUACACAUCCUUAUCAGUCUUUUCAUUCAUCUUUUUACAAACAGUUUGGGAAUAUCUCCACUUCAACUAUUAGUAAUGUUACUUGCUGUAGGAAGAUAGCCUAACAUAGGUAACCACGAGUUAAAUCAGAGUCCAUUUUUGCCAAUAGAAGAAAAACAAAAACCUCAUUACUGAGAAAUUCCACUGUUGUUGUCUCAGGCCCAUUCAUAAACUGUAGUCCACAAUAUCAAGAGGAGGAUAAAAAAGUUCUUGAUACUGCAGAAUGAUCCACAUUUUAUGAAUUUUCUUUUAGCCUUACUUGGGUUACAUUCCAUUUCUUGACUUUUUUGUUGCACCAGAGUGAGACAAGCCAGAAUAGAGAUUAAUGCUGUGCAGAUGUGGUUUCUAACAAGAUACCUCAGUCUCGCUCCUGUCACCCUGUUGACAGAGAGCCUUUAUUAAGUCCUUAACAGUGCAGAUACACGUUGGCAUACCUUUCAUUUUGGGGAGAGGAGGGAAGGAAGAUAAAAAAUAUUUAACCCUCAGAUUUCUUGCAUUUUUUUACAUACUUAAGUGUCAGGGUAGCAGGGGAUCUCCAUGAUGAAAAGCAUCUUCUAAUUGCAAAGCCAGAGAAGGAAGGUUCAUAAAAAUUAAGGUACACGCUUGGCCCUUGUUCUCCUCUGGUCCUUAUGUAGCCCUAAGACAUAGCUGAGGGGAGGGGAAUUUCAGUUAAAAUUGCCUCCAGUAGUGAGAGAGCUGUAGUACCGCUUACUGUGCAGCAUCCUCCCGUGUGUGAGAAAAGCGCCUUGAAGAAAUCUGAGGGUGCAGAGCCCCAGGAUUAAGUCAGAGGGUUGUGUAAGGUGAUGGCAGCCUAACCCGGUAAAGUCUUGGUCCAGCUGCCUUUUAGAAGAGGCCUUUGAGCAAACUGUCUCCAUUAUCUUACCAGAUUUUGUUUCAGGACUAAGUUAUUCACUCUAACAAGAGCCUGAGAGUGAAUUAACGUUUGUGUGAUCUGAACCAUCAGGGGAUGAUGCAGCCAGAGUCUGUAAUCCAACAGCCAGAAGAGCAAUUCUUGACUAAUCUUCAACUUUCCUUAUUUGAAUGCUUGUUUAAACACUUGGUGUGCUCAGCUGGAUGUAUUCUGACAUGCUGAAGUAGCAGUGGCCAUAAAAAUGGUAUAUUUGCAUCUGUGACUACUUUAGGUGUGGGAAGUUUGUUAUGGGAAGAGGCAGGUGUUUAGACAAGUGCUUCCAUGACCAGCAAGUAUAACCAAAUAUUGUUUCUUGUUGGCUACAUCCAAUACAUUGAAGUAAAGCAAUUGCCCAUUGUCUGUCCCCGUAUUGCAGUGCCCUCAGGAUGCUCUCAUCCCUGCUAUGAUUUUGCAUUGCCCGUGCAAGCAGUGUAAAAUCAUAUGCGCUGGCUGAUUUGGAGUGAUGCAUGGACAGAUUGCUCAGCAAACUGAACAUAUAAUGGAUGGGCUCUUCCUGCUUUUCCCUCAUCUGAGCACUUAAGUUUUUCUGCUGCUCAUCUGUCUCUUUUAACAAAACAUGGAAUUUAAUAUCCCUGGGAUUUCUGCUCUCGUCAGGUUCUAUUGCAAUUAGUCAGUUGGUGGAGGAGAGGGGAACCCAAUGAUAGACAGGAAAAGCAUGAGCUGCAAGUCUAAUUUUCUUAGAAAACCAAGAUGUACAAGUGAUAUCAAGUUAAAGUAAUCAAAACAUUCUCCAGUUCACUGACUGUUUCUGAGAAAAGCAAAGCAGUGUUAUAUUUUAAGUCGUACUUGGUUUUCGAUUUUAUACUGGCUUUUACACAGCUGUUCAAAAUGCAGCACAAAAUGCAACUUGACUUAGACUUUGUUAUUACAAACAAAUGCUAAGCAGAAACCAUCUGUAUCUUCCACUGUUAAUGUUUACAUGGUGCUGCAGUUGGCCAACUCUUAUAAUCACAUUCUAGACAUGAGACACAAUUGUGAUUCUUGUUAAAUGUCUGUACUUCCUGCCAUCAUUUUGUACCAUUGAAGUUAAACUUCAGAACGCGGGUCAUUGUUCUGAAGGUUCAGAGUCAAAACACUUCAGAAAUGGUGAAGGCAGUGCAUAAUUUUUUAAUUUGCUCAACAACCUUGUUUUCAGUUAAUCUUUAAGUCUCAUGGGUCAAACAAUUUCUGCUAACUUACAUAUGGUGCAGUCAGUCACACUGACAUACAAACUGGCAUUUCAUGAAGUAAACAUCAGUGAAGUGUUGCCCCACGGCUUUUGUUCUUUAUGGCACUUUCUACUUAUCUGUAGCUGUAAUGAUAGCCAUCUGGAAGGGGAGGUGCACAAGUACCAUUACCACAGCUCUGCACUCACAGAAAGGCAGAAAAGCGUGCCUGCUGCCGGGCAGCUGCAGCUGGUCUAACCCCUGCCUUUCGGCCAGGGUACGCACAGCUCUCAUUCCUGCAGCAGGGGCUUUCUGCUACGUGUCACUGGGAGAUUUACCCACGUAAGGUUGCAGAACUGAGCCAGGGGUUUUAUUGCAUACAUUUUACUUUUACUUACAGUUUUCAGGACAUGUAAGUCUCUCUCCUUUGAAUAAUCCAUAAAGUCUUCAAAUAGGCAAUGUGACCUAAUGCGCUGAAUGAUCUCAUGCUUUGUCAGAUGUAAAAUAUUAUCCAAAGUGAAUGAAAUGUGAUGGUUUGAAGUUUUGAAAAGAUGUCUUUGGAAUGUAUUAACGUAUUUAUUUCAUCUUCCACAUGUAACCCAAAUAAAGAGCCCAUUAUGA